GCUCCCCCUUGGGGCUUCCA
rnacentral:miRNA from 1 species